GGAGGAAUAUUGGGUCAAUGGGCGCAAGCCUGAACCAGCCAAGUAGCGUGAAGGAUGACUGCCCUAUGGGUUGUAAACUUCUUUUAUGCGGGAAUAACCUCGACCAUGUAUGGUCGUUUGCAUGUACCGCAAGAAAAAGCAUCGGCUAAUUCCGUGCCAGCAGCCGCGGUAAUACGGAAGAUGCGAGCGUUAUCCGGAUUUAUUGGGUUUAAAGGGAGCGUAGGCGGACUAUCAAGUCAGUUGUGAAAGUCAUCGGCUCAACCGCUGAAUUGCAGUUGAAACUGGUAGUCUUGAGUGCACAUGAGGAUGGUGGAAUUCGUAGUGUAGCGGUGAAAUGCUUAGAUAUUAGGAG
rnacentral:rRNA from 1 species